GAACAAUUGGGACCCACAAACAUUCAUAGAGUUGUUGUUUGAGAAUAGAAGAUAUGAUUCCCUGGACUUUAUUCUUUCUAAUUAGUGUUCAUGGAGUCUGGAGUGAGAUCAGACUGGACCAGUCUCCAUCUGAGGUGAAAAGACCUGGAGAGACAGUGAAGAUGUCUUGUAUCACAUCUGGUUAUAGCAUGACGAGCUACAAUAUUCACUGGAUACGACAGAGACCAGGACAAGCUCUGGAGUGGAUUGGUUGGAUGAAUACAGGCAACAACGCUGCCAGCUAUGCCAGCGCCUUCCAGAAUCGUUUCCCGAUGACUGAAGAUGUGUCCAGCAGCACUCAGUACCUCCAGAUCAAGAGUCUGACAGCAGAAGAUUCUGCUGUUUAUUAUUGUGCUCGACAACCACAGUGA